AUUGAACGCUGGCGGCAUGCUUUACACAUGCAAGUCGAACGGCAGCGCGGGCUUCGGCCUGGCGGCGAGUGGCGAACGGGUGAGUAAUACAUCGGAACGUGCCCAGUAGUGGGGGAUAGCUCAGCGAAAGCCGGAUUAAUACCGCAUACGACCUGAGGGUGAAAGCGGGGGAUCUUCGGACCUCGCGCUAUUGGAGCGGCCGAUGCAGAUUAGCUAGUUGGUGGGGUAAAGGCCUACCAAGGCGACGAUCUGUAGCUGGUCUGAGAGGACGACCAGCCACACUGGGACUGAGACACGGCCCAGACUCCUACGGGAGGCAGCAGUGGGGAAUUUUGGACAAUGGGCGAAAGCCUGAUCCAGCAAUGCCGCGUGUGUGAUGAAGGCCUUCGGGUUGUAAAGCACUUUUGGCGGGAACGAAAAGGACUGUGCCAAUACCACGGUUCGAUGACGGUACCCGCAGAAUAAGCACCGGCUAACUACGUG
rnacentral:rRNA from 1 species